UCCGAGUUGACCCCGGCAGUCUCCCACGAGUCCCCGGCAUUACCCGCUGGCAACAUAGGACAAGGGUUGCGCUCGUUGCGGGACUUAAGCCAACACCUCACGGCACGAGCUGACGACAACCAUGCACCACCUGUGCAGGACCCUUGCGGACCCCCCAUCUCUGGAGGAUUUCCCUGCAUGUCAAGCCUUGGUAAGGUUCUUCGCGUUGCGUCGAAUUAAGCCACAUGCUCCGCUGCUUGUGCGGGCCCCCGUCAAUUCCUUUGAGUCUUAGCCUUGCGGCCGUACUCCCCAGGCGGGGUGCUUAAUGCGUUAGCUUCGGCACGGAGAGGGUUGAUGCCCCCCACACCUAGCACCCAACGUUUACGGCUGGGACUAC
rnacentral:misc_RNA from 1 species